rnacentral:rRNA from 1 species
GAGUUUGAUCCUGGCUCAGAACGAACGCUGGCGGCGUGCCUAACACAUGCAAGUCGAACGUGAUCCAGAGCUUGCUCUGGUGAAAGUGGCGCACGGGUGAGUAACGCGUGGAUAACCUACCCUGGUAUCCGGGAUAACAUUCCGAAAGGGGUGCUAAUACCGGAUAAGCCCACGGGCUCUUUGGAGCUUGCGGGAAAAGGUGGCCUCUAUUUAUAAGCUACUGUAUCAGGAUGGGUCCGCGUACCAUUAGCUAGUUGGCUGUGUAACGGACCACCAAGGCGACGAUGGUUAGCUGGUCUGAGAGGAUGAUCAGCCACACUGGAACUGAGACACGGUCCAGACUCCUACGGGAGGCAGCAGUGGGGAAUUUUGCGCAAUGGGGGAAACCCUGACGCAGCAACGCCGCGUGAGUGAUGAAGGCCUUUGGGUCGUAAAGCUCUGUCAGAGGGGAAGAAAUGAUAUAGUGCUAAUACCACUUUAUCUUGACGGUACCCUCAAAGGAAGCACCGGCUAACUCCGUGCCAGCAGCCGCGGUAAUAC